rnacentral:rRNA from 1 species
GUGAAGGUGGCCUGUGAGGGUUGCUGGAGGUAUCAGAAGUGCGAAUGCUGACAUAAGUAACGAUAAAGCGGGUGAAAAGCCCGCUCGCCGGAAGACCAAGGGUUCCUGUCCAACGUUAAUCGGGGCAGGGUGAGUCGACCCCUAAGGCGAGGCCGAAAGGCGUAGUCGAUGGGAAACGGGUUAAUAUUCCCGUACUUGGUGUUACUGCGAAGGGGGGACGGAGAAGGCUAUGUUGGCCGGGCGACGGUUGUCCCGGUUUAAGCGUGUAGGUGUGUGUUCCAGGUAAAUCCGGUUCACUUUAACACUGAGGCGUGACGACGAGGCACUACGGUGCUGAAGCAACAAAUGCCCUGCUUCCAGGAAAAGCCUCUAAGCAUCAGGUAACAUCAAAUCGUACCCCAAACCGACACAGGUGGUCAGGUAGAGAAUACCAAGGCGCUUGAGAGAACUCGGGUGAAGGAACUAGGCAAAAUGGUGCCGUAACUUCGGGAGAAGGCACGCUGACACGUAGGUGAAGUGAUUUACUCAUGGAGCUGAAGUCAGUCGAAGAUACCAGCUGGCUGCAACUGUUUAUUAAAAACACAGCACUGUGCAAACACGAAAGUGGACGUAUACGGUGUGACGCCUGCCCGGUGCCGGAAGGUUAAUUGAUGGGGUCAGCGCAAGCGAAGCUCCUGAUCGAAGCCCCGGUAAACGGCGGCCGUAACUAUAACGGUCCUAAGGUAGCGAAAUUCCUUGUCGGGUAAGUUCCGACCUGCACGAAUGGCGUAAUGAUGGCCAGGCUGUCUCCACCCGAGACUCAGUGAAAUUGAACUCGCUGUGAAGAUGCAGUGUACCCGCGGCAAGACGGAAAGACCCCGUGAACCUUUACUAUAGCUUGACACUGAACAUUGAGCCUUGAUGUGUAGGAUAGGUGGGAGGCUUUGAAGUGUGGACGCCAGUCUGCAUGGAGCCGACCUUGAAAUACCACCCUUUAAUGUUUGAUGUUCUAACGUGGACCCGUAAUCCGGGUUGCGGACAGUGUCUGGUGGGUAGUUUGACUGGGGCGGUCUCCUCCUAAAGAGUAACGGAGGAGCACGAAGGUUGGCUAAUCCUGGUCGGACAUCAGGAGGUUAGUGCAAUGGCAUAAGCCAGCUUGACUGCGAGCGUGACGGCGCGAGCAGGUGCGAAAGCAGGUCAUAGUGAUCCGGUGGUUCUGAAUGGAAGGGCCAUCGCUCAACGGAUAAAAGGUACUCCGGGGAUAACAGGCUGAUACCGCCCAAGAGUUCAUAUCGACGGCGGUGUUUGGCACCUCGAUGUCGGCUCAUCACAUCCUGGGGCUGAAGUAGGUCCCAAGGGUAUGGCUGUUCGCCAUUUAAAGUGGUACGCGAGCUGGGUUUAGAACGUCGUGAGACAGUUCGGUCCCUAUCUGCCGUGGGCGCUGGAGAACUGAGGGGGGCUGCUCCUAGUACGAGAGGACCGGAGUGGACGCAUCACUGGUGUUCGGGUUGUCAUGCCAAUGGCACUGCCCGGUAGCUAAAUGCGGAAGAGAUAAGUGCUGAAAGCAUCUAAGCACGAAACUUGCCCCGA